rnacentral:sRNA from 1 species
UUUGCACCCCGACCUGAACGGAGCUCUUUUUUUCUUGCCGCUAUACGGUUUUAUGGUUUGCGGCAAGAAAAAAAAGCGGGAGUGGAGGGCGGAUUAGGUG